rnacentral:rRNA from 1 species
UGCCUCAGUAGCGGCGAGUGAAGCGGCAAGAGCUCAGAUUUGAAAUCUCACCUAGUGUGCGAGUUGUAAAUUGCAGGUUGGAGUCUCGGGUUAGACGUGUGUGCAAGUCCCUUGGAACAGGGUGCCACUGAGGGUGAGAGCCCCGUAGCGUGCAUGUCGACACCUGUGAGGCCCUUCUGACGAGUCGAGUUGUUUGGGAAUGCAGCUCUAAGUGGGUGGUAAAUUCCAUCUAAGGCUAAAUAUUGGCGAGAGACCGAUAGCGAACAAGUACUGUGAAGGAAAGAUGAAAAGCACUUUGAAAAGAGAGUGAAACAGCACGUGAAAUUGUUGAAAGGGAAGGGUAUUGGGCUCGACAUGGGAUUUACGCAUCGUUGCCUCUCGUGGGCGGCGCUCUGGGUUUUUCCUGGGCCAGCAUCGGUUUUCGUUGCAGGAUAAGGACAAUUGGAAUGUGGCUCCUCGGAGUGUUAUAGCCUUUUGUAGAUGCUGCGUAUGGGGACCGAGGGCUGCGGCGGACU